UACGAACUGUGCGAACGUUAUUCGGAAUCACUGGGCUUACAGGGUGCGUAGGCGGCUUGUCAAGUAGGGUGUGAAAGCCCCCGGCUUAACCGGGAAUUGCGCCCUAAACUGGCGAGCUGGAGUGAGAUAGGGGUGUGUGGAACUUCCGGUGGAGCGGUGAAAUGUGUUGAUAUCGGAAGGAACGCCGGUGGCGAAAGCGACACACUGGAUCUUGUCUGACGCUGAGGCACGAAAGCCAGGGAGCGAACGGG
rnacentral:rRNA from 1 species